rnacentral:lncRNA from 1 species
CGUGACGAUAUUCAAAAAAACAAGGCCCUGAAAAAACCAAGGAAACCUUAACAGUAACCGAAUCAUGGCCGCUGCUUUGUCACGUUUAGUACACGUAGCUCCUAUUUCGCGCCUGAGUCUAGGGCUGGGCGUUCGGUUAAUAUGAUUAAUACGGUUCGGUUUAUUCGGUUUUCUAUAAUUUUGGUUUUCAAGAAAUGACCACCGAAAUAAUCACAUAGAAAUUAGCAACCGAACCAUAUUAACCAAAAUACUUUGGUUCGGUUUAUUCGGUUAACCGGAAAACGGAAGUACAAUUUUUAGGGGAUUUGAUACGUGUAUUAUAUAUGCUAUUUCGAAUCACCCCAAUAGUUAUACACGCACAAGUCUAUAGCUAGCCUAAACAAGCUAGCACCCAGGCAGCUUGAUGGAUUUUCCAGCCGCCAUAUGUCGCGUCGGUUCGUACUCACGUACGUGAGCUUGUAGAGCUAUCCAGAUUAAGAGACUAGAACUUGGAGAAGCCAGCGAAGAUUUGUGAGUGAAUGGCUUACGUCUGUGCUGAGUGUCGAGCACCAACUCGCUGGAGCCGGUUCACUUAGAGUUUCGUGCGCUUAGGGUUGGAAGGAGACGGCGCCGCUAGAUGAAGGGACAGGAAGAUGGGAGAUGGCCAGAACGCAGUGUCAAUUGUUAUAUACUAAUGUACAUUAGGUAAAUCGAAGGAGGCAUUGGGCCCAACGAUAAAUGAGCUGCAGAUUGCAGUCAGAGACUCGGAGUCACGUACUAAUGAACGGUCAAUAUGAAUAAUAUGGUUUAUUCGGUGAUUACGGUUUCUGGUCGAUGGAAACCGAUUAUACACCGAACACCGAAUAGAAAAGAAAGUACACACCGAACCGAAAAACCAUACACCGAAUAAACAUGUAAAACGGUUAAAUCGGUUUGGUUCGGUUUGGUUUUUCGAUCUUCAGUUUGACAGUGCCCACCCCUACCUGAGUCCCUAGCGAAUAUGCCAGCGCGCACCCCCUGGUGACCCAGUUUUGUAUUUUGUUCUUCGUAUCUAUGUUUCUUUUUUUGGUUUUUUCUUCUAUAAAACAAUCUGGUAUUUAAAAAAGGUUCAAAAUUUUAGGGGAAUUUUUUUUGGAAAUGUUUCAGAAACUAUAAAAUGUUUCUGGUUUACAAAAUGUUCAUGGUUUUGAAAACAAAUAUUAGAACAAUGGGGCGAGUUGGCUGAUGAAGCUGUUUGUUUUUGUUGCUAAAUCUUCUAUUCCUAAAUAGCAACCACCCACUAGCUAUUUUUCCUAGACAUGAAACGAUGACAGAUGAGCAAAUCAUGCAUGUAAGUCAUAAAUUACAUUGUUUUUGCAUUACUCAUUAUGUGCUAACUCCACGAAUUAUGUGCUAACUCCACGAAUUAGGGUAUGAUGGCAACAUAGUACAACUUAUUCUUUGGUUAGACUGAAUCAUGCACGGUUUCAAAACUUGAACCUAGAGUUUAAGCAUUGUUCUUGCCAAAAGCAUAACUGAACCUACCAAUCUUAUUUGUUUAAACAUUCAGAUUGAGAGGACAAGAAAUAUAUUGAUACCGACAAC